rnacentral:rRNA from 1 species
UACGUAGGGUGCAAGCGUUGUCCGGAAUUAUUGGGCGUAAAGAGCUCGUAGGCGGUUCGGUAAGUCGGGUGUGAAACCUCCAGGCUCAACCUGGAGACGCCACCCGAUACUGCUGUGACUAGAGUCCAGUAGGGGAGCGUGGAAUUCCUGGUGUAGCGGUGAAAUGCGUAGAUAUCUGGAGGAACACCGGUGGCGAAGGCGGCAUCCUGGACCGGCAUUGACGCUGAGGCGCGAAAGCUAGGGGAGCAAACGGG